rnacentral:rRNA from 1 species
GUGGGGAAUCUUGCACAAUGGGGGAAACCCUGAUGCAGCGACGCCGCGUGAGCGAUGAAGCCCUUCGGGGUGUAAAGCUCUUUCGGCAGGAACGAUAAUGACGGUACCUGCAGAAGAAGCUGCGGCUAACUACGUGCCAGCAGCCGCGGUAAUACGUAGGCAGCAAGCGUUGUUCGGAGUUACUGGGCGUAAAGAGUGUGUAGGCGGUUCUCUAAGUUUGGUGUGAAAUCUCCCGGCUUAACUGGGAGGGUGCGCCGAAAACUGGAGGGCUCGAGUGCGGGAGAGGAGAGCGGAAUUCCUGGUGUAGCGGUGAAAUGCGUAGAUAUCAGGAGGAACACCUGUGGUGUAGACAGCUCUCUGGACCGCCACUGACGCUGAGACACGAAAGCGUGGGUAGCAAACAGGAUUAGAUACCCUAGUAGUCC